rnacentral:rRNA from 1 species
AUUGAACGCUGGCGGCAGGCUUAACACAUGCAAGUCGAGCGGAGAGAGGUAGCUUGCUACUGAUCUUAGCGGCGGACGGGUGAGUAAUGCUUAGGAAUCUGCCUAUUAGUGGGGGACAACAUUUCGAAAGGAAUGCUAAUACCGCAUACGUCCUACGGGAGAAAGCAGGGGAUCUUCGGACCUUGCGCUAAUAGAUGAGCCUAAGUCGGGUUAGCUAGUUGGUGGGGUAAAGGCCUACAAAGGCGACGAUCUGUAGCGGGUCUGAGAGGAUGAUCCGCCAGACUGGGACUGAGACACGGCCCAGAAUCCUACGGGAGGCAGCAGUGGGGAAUAUUGGACAAUGGGCGGAAGCCUGAUCCAGCCAUGCCGCGUGUGUGAAGAAGGCCUGAUGGUUGUAAAGCACUUUAAGCGAGGAGGAGGCUACUUUAGUUAAUACCUAGAGAUAGUGGACGUUACUCGCAGAAUAAGCACCGGCUAACUCUGUGCCAGCCGCCGCCGUAA